rnacentral:rRNA from 1 species
UACAUAGGGUGCAAGCGUUAAUCGGAAUUACUGGGCGUAAAGGGUGCGUAGGUGGUCAAUUAAGUCAGAUGUGAAAUCCCUGGGCUUAACCUAGGAAUGGCAUAUGAAACUGGUUGACUAGAGUGUGGGAGAGGGAAGUGGAAUUUCCGGUGUAGCGGUGAAAUGCGUAGAUAUCGGAAGGAACACCAGUGGCGAAGGCGACUUCCUGGCCCGAUACUGACACUGAGGCACGAAAGCGUGGGGAGCGAACAGG